ensembl:lncRNA
AGAACUAACCCUGUUGUGAAUGUGUAUGUCUGUGAGCGUAUGAGAGGGGGUGGUGAGAGAACUAACCCUUUUGUGAAUGUGUAUGUCUGUGAGCGUAUGAGAGGGGAGGGGGUGGUGAGGCGGCAUGCUCUUUGGCAUGGCAUGAUGGCCGUGUUUAGUUGCACACAGUGUAGUGUGAGGCACCAGGAUCUCAGCUCUGGUGGAGGUGGGUGGGAGAGCAUGGGCGACACUAAAGCCUCUGAAACCGCUUAUUUAUUAUUCAUUUGUAUCUGUGUGUCAUAUGUGUCGCCAUGUUCUCCAUUCAUUUUGAAGGGGUGUUUUAAAGCAGCUCUACCAUGGUAUAUAAUAAUAUAUAGUAAUCUGCAUCCUAACAUUGUGCACUGCAAAUUUAACCAGGGUGCUUGAGCUUUUAUCUUUCACAAAUAAUAAGGAUGAUCUGUAUGGCGUGUUCCAUUCCCCUCUUAUUUUCUUAGGGUUUUUUUUUUUAAAUGCAUUUGCAAUCACAUACAAUUGAAACUGCAGAAAGUGUGUGUGUGUGUGUGUGUGUGUGUGUGUGUGUGUGUGUGUGAGAAUAAGGGUGAUGGGAAUGUGUGUGAUAGCAGUGGUGUAAGAUUACUGUUCCAAAAGAGGAGUGGCCUACAUAUGGGGUUUUCAGGGUUUUUAUUUUAGUUUUGAGUUUGAAAGUGACUUGUGUGGGGAGGAGGAGGAGGGGUGGGGUGGGGCUGGUUUAAGUGCUGCUCUUACACAGUUUCUGUUUAGGCUGUACUGUAAAAAUAUUGAUUUGUGAUUGAUUGGUGAAGAAGAUUCCGUUCAAAGUUUGUGUAAGUGCAUGAUCAUGUCCAAAGCCCUCCGAUCUCCAGAGGUGAAGCUGUGUUGCUGCUGCUGCAGCAGAAGCCUACUCUACUCCCCCGUAGACCUUAGUGCUAACCCAGUAUUCUGUGUGCACCCCACCUCCUUAAUAAGAGCCCAGAGUACUGCCUCAGUAUUAACUAUUGAAUGUCAAAUCUGUUGCUCCCCUGAUGGAUUGAGUCUGAGGUGUGCAGUCUCCUCGUCUAAUGUCAACAGUGCUUCGCUUCGCAGGGGUUUUUAUUGCAAAGUACAUCCAUGUAGAGAAAUGACUGUCUUCAAAUUCCCACUGUUAAUCCAAUUAAUGAAUGAAAACAAUUCCUAUUUGUACAGUAGAGGCUACUGUUGUUCUUACAUAAAAAAGAAUGUAUGUAUGUAUGAAUGGAUGCUGGUGAGUUGUGUAAUGACUUGUUUCUACGGGUGAUUUGGCUGUUCAGAAGUGGUGAGCGGUUUGGCCUGAUGGUAACUACCACAUAGCCAUGCCCUCUCCCUGGCAGCUCUCUUCUCUUCCUACACCGUGUACUUGGUGACGUUGGUAAAUGUGCUUUGACCUAGCGGUAGCACUGAGGUGGAGUAUGGGGCCUGGCUGGCUUUGGGUGUUGCCCACUUCUGAUCGCUGGACUGUGGAGGGUCAUGGAGAUAUAGGCUGCUGGGGGUGUAUUUGUCUCAACGUCUCGUAGUGUCGGGCUCCAGGGUUUGCAGUGUAAAACUAAAUCCUGAACUUGACCUUCUGUUGUGCAGAGGUUUCCAAGCCAACGUGCUGCCCUGUGCUUUAAUGUGAGUUAACCCCCAGGUGAAUGAUUCCGUGUGGUGUGAGUGAAUCCAUGCCAAAGAGAAUCACCCUCAGUAGCAAACACUGGCAAUGUUUUAGUCAUGGCUACACAGAGACAGCCUCACUUUCUAGUCAACACACCAAUAUUAACCUUUUUUAUUUUUAUUUAAAGAAAUGUUUUAGGGUAGCUAGCAGCUGACUAAUAAACAAGUUGCUAUUGUGACAUAGAUUCCUUAACUAAACUGCAUAAUAAAUACACUGGCUUUUCUGUUUUAAUCAUGUAGGCUAACCUUUUAAUUUUAUGUAAGUUUUAAUUUCAAUUGACCAGAAUUCCCUUUUAUUGGGCAGGGUCCGCAGACAGCUGCUGACUAUACUCUUAGUCUUGAAAAAGAAAAGAGUUGACGGCCUGAGUUUUACUGAACUGGACUUAGCAACCAAGGAUCAUGCGUUGAGACAAAUAAGGACAGUUUUUGUUUUAAAUAUUAUUAACUUAGAUGUUCACUUUAUGAUAUGCAUAUAUUUUUUUACUGAUUUGUCUAUUACCCUGAUGUAGGCCACAUACCUUUUAUAGGGAGCAAAUGGUGUAAGAUGUAAACGUUUUUGAUGCAGAGAUAUUGGGGAUCAUCAUAAUCAGAGAUUGGUUUAUUGCUUGCUUGUUGUGAAAUAUAAAAAGAUUAGUAACACAUGGAAAACAAGUAAUAGUCAAGCAGCCAGUCAUGUACUUUAAGAAGUAGAGCUCUGUGAAAGAACCUGUCACAUGCUGUCUGUUACUCCCUAUUACAGAAAUUGUGAAAUAAUUGGUUCCAGACAGACAUAUUUAAAAGUGCACUUUUUAUAAAGAUGUACUUGUUGGAAAUGGAAUACUAGAAAUUUUCUUCCAUUUUUGUUCCAUGUUUUUUGCAUUUUUAGUUUUCAUUUUUUGGGUAGGUUGGGAAAAGGAGUGUGUGGUUGAGGACAGGAUUUCACUUCCCUGCCUCCUAAUAAAGCAGUACCACAAGCA